CGAACUUUUUCUAUUUACCUCAGUUCACAGUAUUUCCUAAGUGUAUUGAUGGUAUACUGGCGGUUCCUAUGGUGAACUACGGAGAUUCUGGAGGUCUUCUAGAGAUGCUGCGUUAUGGUCACACAGCCGUGAUAACUGAGACAUCGAGGCAGUGGAUUCUCUUCUGUUAGUUUGCCAGUCAUCGGGUCAAACGCCCAAAUGUAAUUAACACCAGAUGAGAACUCAUCCCGACCUCCCACAAUAUAAACUUUCCCAUCGAACACGUGUUUGUUUUGUCACCGACUGCUCCUCCGAUGCUGUAGAGUUUUCCAGCGCAGCCGACCGCAGCAGCCGAGCUCACGGGCAGCAGCAGAUCACAGACUGUCCUCCACGUGUUAUUGUGAGGAUUAUAACACUCCAC